UUCAGUGUGUGUAUAGUGUGUGUGUGUGAGAGUGUGUUUCAGUGUGUGUAUUGUGUGUGUAGGUGUGAGAGUGUGUGUUUCAGGGUGUGUAUAGUGUGUAGGUGUGAGAGUGUGUGUUUCAGGGUGUGUAUACUGUGUGUAGGUGUGUGAGGGUGUGUUUCAGGGUGUGUAUUGUGUGUGUAGGUGUGUGAGGGUGUGUUUCAGGGUGUGUAUUGUGUGUGUAGGUGUGAGAGUGUGUGUUUCAGGGUGUGUAUUGUGUGUGUAGGUGUGAGAGUGUGUGUUUCAGGGUGUGUAUAGUGUGUAGGUGUGAGAGUGUGUGUUUCAGGGUGUGUAUAGUGUGUGUAGGUGUGUGAGGGUGUGUUUCAGUGUGUGUAUAGUGUGUGUAGGUGUGUGAGGGUGUGUUUCAGGGUGUGUAUUGUGUGUGUAGGUGUGUGAGGGUGUGUUUCAGGGUGUGUAUAGUGUGUGUAGGUGUGAGAGUGUGUGUUUCAGGGUGUGUAUUGUGUGUGUAGGUGUGUGAGUGUGUGUUUCAGGGUGUGUAUAGUGUGUGUAGGUGUGAGAGUGUGUGUUUCAGUGUGUGUAUUGUGUGUGUAGGUGUGAGAGUGUGUGUUUCAGGGUGUUUAUUGUGUGUGUAGGUGUGAGAGGGUGUGUUUCAGGGUGUGUAUUGUGUGUGUAGGUGUGUGAGGGUGUGUUUCAGGGUGUGUAUAGUGUGUGUAGGUGUGAGAGUGUGUGUUUCAGGGUGUGUAUAGUGUGUGUAGGUGUGUGAGGGUGUGUUUCAGGGUGUGUAUUGUGUGUGUAGGUGUGAGAGUGUGUGUUUCAGGGUGUGUAUUGUGUGUGUAGGUGUGAGAGUGUGUGUUUCAGGGUGUGUAUUGUGUGUGUAGGUGUGUGAGGGUGUGUUUCAGGGUGUGUAUAGUGUGUGUAGGUGUGAGAGUGUGUGUUUCAGUGUGUGUAUUGUGUGUGUAGGUGUGAGAGUGUGUGUUUCAGGGUGUUUAUUGUGUGUGUAGGUGUGAGAGGGUGUGUUUCAGGGUGUGUAUUGUGUGUGUAGGUGUGUGAGGGUGUGUUUCAGGGUGUGUAUAGUGUGUGUAGGUGUGAGAGUGUGUGUUUCAGGGUGUGUAUUGUGUGUGUAGGUGUGUGAGUGUGUGUUUCAGGGUGUGUAUAGUGUGUGUAGGUGUGAGAGUGUGUGUUUCAGUGUGUGUAUUGUGUGUGUAGGUGUGUGAGGGUGUGUUUCAGUGUGUGUAUUGUGUGUGUAGGUGUGUGAGGGUGUGUUU